CUGACUGCGUAUGCGGCUCUCCAUGAUCUCAGCCGUAUACAGCUUUAAAAAGGAGGAAAUGAACAUCCCCUGACUCGGGGUGCGGCAGUGUGGAGACCUGUCGCAAAGCGGUCCGUUCCCAAGGGGCGGCCGCGAGGGCACCUCAGGCGGAGGCCGGGUGUCCGGAGUCGGAAACAUGGCA
ncrna:unclassified sequences malK-I RNA